AUUGAACGCUGGCGGCAGGCCUAACACAUGCAAGUCGAGCGAGCGGCGGACGGGUGAGUAAUGUAUGGGGACUGCCCGAUAGAGGGGGCUAACUACUGGAAACUGUAGCUAAUACCGCAUACUAUCGGAUAACCCAUAUGGGAUUAGCUAGUAGGUGAGGUAAUGUCUCACCUAGGCGACGAUCCCUAGCUGGUCUGAGAGGAUGAUCAGGCACAUUGGGGCGGAGACACGGCCCAGACUCCUACGGAGGCAGCAGUGGGGAAUAAUGCACAAUGGGCGUAAGCCUGUUGCAGCCAUGCCGCGUGUAUAAAGAAGGCCCUAGGGUUGUAAAGUACAUUCAGUCGGGAGGCGUUACCGACAGAAGAAGCACCGGAUAACUCCGGGCCAGCAGCCGCGGUAAUAC
rnacentral:rRNA from 1 species